UAUUGAAUACUUUUCAAUUGCUUAGUGCUAAGCCGGUUGUUUAUUUGGUUAACAUGACCGAGAAAGAUUACCAAAGAAAAAAGAAAAAGUUCUUACCAAAGAUUCAUUCUUGGUAUGCUCUCUUCCUAUGUCUGUGUUUGUCUCAGUGGUUGGGAUUCACAUAUGCUUUUUCUAUAUAAUGCCUGGAAACGUAGUUUGAAGCAAGACUGAAG